CCCCGGGACUCGGCGCUUCCGUAGGCGCUGAGGGAAGCGCAGAGGGAUCGGGAGGGGAGCGGGACCGCGGGAUCGGCGGGCUGCGAUCAUCCAGGGAACUGGUGAAGAAGUCUGAAGAAGAAAUUAAUUUCAAGUCCAGAAAGUUGUGAUUCCAAGUGGCCUAGUACAAGAUUUCAACUGUGAUAUCAUUCACAGUUCUUUAAACAAGCUUUGCCAGUAGUUGAAGGAUCAGAACAUCAGCAGAAGAAGAAAACACUGAAGAAACACAUCCUACUCCAUUAGAAAUGAUGGAGUUGGAAAAAUCGCUCCCUGUCUGAAGGCGCUGUUUCAUAGGCUGCUUUCCAAGGACUUGCUGACCUUGGCAAGAAUGAGAUUCAGUGUUUCUGUAACUGCAAAAGAAUGGGACAUCACUUUGUUGGAGCCACACACAUGAAUAAAUAAAUGAAUA